rnacentral:pre_miRNA from 1 species
UUGUGACCUGGAGUUCUCCUCAAAUCACUUCAGUUGCGAGCUAGCUUCUGCCCCCCGUUGUUGCAUUGACAUUGUUUAUAAGCGCACAAUGCGGGGAUAUAGAGUUCUGCGUAGUGAAGUGUUUGGGGGAACUCUGGGUGGCAA